CACAAAGCUAUAGCAGGUUUAUGUAGUGUUAUUUUAUUAGUUUUCUCAAAUUGUAAAUCUCAAUGGAAUCAUGGAUCAAUAAAAAACUAAAGAGAAAAAUUAAAAAGUGAUUUAAAGCAGAAUUAAUGCAUGAAUGGAUAUCAAGACAGUCAUUGCGAGGAGUAACACUAUACUGAAGUUUAAGAAAAAUAAUAAAAAUC
rnacentral:sRNA from 1 species